AGUGAACGCUGGCGGUAGGCCUAACACAUGCAAGUCGAACGGCAGCACAGUAAGAGCUUGCUCUUACGGGUGGCGAGUGGCGGACGGGUGAGGAAUACAUCGGAAUCUACUUUUUCGUGGGGGAUAACGUAGGGAAACUUACGCUAAUACCGCAUACGACCUACGGGUGAAAGCAGGGGAUCUUCGGACCUUGCGCGAUUGAAUGAGCCGAUGUCGGAUUAGCUAGUUGGCGGGGUAAAGGCCCACCAAGGCGACGAUCCGUAGCUGGUCUGAGAGGAUGAGCAGCCACACUGGAACUGAGACACGGUCCAGACUCCUACGGGAGGCAGCAGUGGGGAAUAUUGGACAAGGGGCGCAAGCCUGAUCCAGCCAUGCCGCGUGGGGGAAGAAGGCCUUCGGGUUGUAAAGCCCUUUUGUUGGGAAAGAAAAGCAGCAGGUUAAUACCCCGCUGUUCUGACGGUACCCAAAGAAUGAGCACCGGCUAACUUCGUG
rnacentral:rRNA from 1 species